AGAGUUUGAUCCUGGCUCAGGAUGAACGCUGGCGGCGUGCCUAACACAUGCAAGUCGAACGAAGCACCUUUUAAGAUUCUUCGGAUGAAGGUCUGGUGACUGAGUGGCGGACGGGUGAGUAACGCGUGGGUAACCUGCCCUGUACAGGGGGAUAACAGUUGGAAACGGCUGCUAAUACCGCAUAAGCGCACGAGAGGACAUCCUUUUGUGUGAAAAACUCCGGUGGUACAGGAUGGGCCCGCGUCUGAUUAGCUGGUUGGCAGGGUAACGGCCUACCAAGGCGACGAUCAGUAGCCGGUCUGAGAGGAUGAACGGCCACAUUGGAACUGAGACACGGUCCAAACUCCUACGGGAGGCAGCAGUGGGGAAUAUUGCACAAUGGGGGGAACCCUGAUGCAGCAACGCCGCGUGAGUGAAGAAGUAUUUCGGUAUGUAAAGCUCUAUCAGCAGGGAAGAUAAUGACGGUACCUGACUAAGAAGCUCCGGCUAAAUACGUGCCAGCAGCCGCGGUAAUACGUAUGGAGCAAGCGUUAUCCGGAUUUACUGGGUGUAAAGGGUGCGUAGGUGGCAGUGCAAGUCAGAUGUGAAAGGCCGGGGCCCAACCCCGGAGCUGCAUUUGAAACUGCAUAGCUAGAGUACAGGAGAGGCAGGCGGAAUUCCUAGUGUAGCGGUGAAAUGCGUAGAUAUUAGGAGGAACACCAGUGGCGAAGGCGGCCUGCUGGACUGUUACUGACACUGAGGCACGAAAGCGUGGGGAGCAAACAGGAUUAGAUACCCUGGUAGUCCACGCCGUAAACGAUG
rnacentral:rRNA from 1 species